rnacentral:rRNA from 1 species
GCCUAAAGGGGCCGUAGCUAGUUCGGAAAGUCUCUGGUGAAAUCCUGCGGCCUAACCGCAGGGCGCGCCAGAGAAACUACCGAGCUUGAGGGCAGGAGAGGCAGGGGGUACUUUCGGGGUAGGGGUGAAAUCCUAUAAUCCUGAAAGGACCAACAGUGGCGAAGGCGCCCUGCAUGAAUGCGCCUGACAGUGAGGGACGAGAGCCAAGAGCGCGAAACGGAUUAGAUACCCGUGUAGUCUUGGCCGUAAACGAUGCUGACUAGGCGGGGUGCAGUCUUAGGGACUGCGCCAUGCCGAAGGGAAGCCGUUAAGUCAGCCGCCUGGGGAGUACGGCCGCAAGGCUGAAACUUAAAGGAAUUGGCGGGGGAGCACUACAAGGGGUGGAAGCUGCGGUUUAAUUAGAUUCAACGCUGGACAUCUCACCGGAGGCGACAGCAGGAUGAAGGCCAGACUGAAGGUCUUGCCGAACACGCUGAGAGGAGGUGCAUGGCCGUCGUCAGCUCGUGCUGUAAAGUGUUAGGUUAAGUCCUAAAACGAGCGAGACCCACACCCUUAUUUGCAACCAGUUCUUCCGAGGGCUGGGCACAAUAAGGGGACUGCCUGCUAUAAGUAGGAGGAAGGAGUGGACAACGAUAGGUACGCAUGCCCCGAA